rnacentral:lncRNA from 1 species
GUCGACACAAAGGUUCUCCAAGUCCCCAUCAGGUAGCUAGAUACAGAGUGUCGAUUGGUGCAUUCACAAACCCUGAGCUAGACAUAGGGUGCUGAUUGGUGUGUUUACAAACCUUGAGCUAGAUACAGAGUGCCGAUUGGUGUAUUUACAAUCCCUUAGCUAGACAUAAAGGUUCUCCAAGUCCCCACCAGACUCAGGAGCCCAGCUGGCUUCACCCAGUGGAUCCCCCACCGGGGCUGCGGUUAUGCAUUUUGGUGCCUGACUCUGGACAGUCAUUUUUUUCUGCUGUUCUGUAGGAUCUCAGGCACACAUGUGGCUUGUUGACAAAACAAAAUGCUGCUUUUUGCUUUAGGUUAGAAGAGUCAGACGCGUCUUCAUUGACCUUCAUUAAACAAAGAGGUUAAGUCAUUUACUGUGUGAUUACCAUAGGUAUCAUUUUAAAAACACAUUACCUCGGCCAGGCGUGGUGGCUCACGCCUGUAAUC